AGUAGUAGAAGUACUUUACGUAAGUUAUAUGAGUUUAAUUAUGACAAAAUUUAUAAGAGGAAGAUAAACCUUAGCUAAGCACCAACAUGCAUGUGGGAUAAAUAUGAUUCACAAACUUAGUCAAUUCUAAAAUAUCAAUCAAUUAAGUUAAUAAAAAUAAAACUAACAAAAUUCACUAACUUCUUAUCUAUAUUUUCCCUCCUAUAAAUAAGGCUAUGAAAUGCAUGGGAAAUUUCUCCAAGAUAAAAAUAAUAAUUAGAGUUUAAAAGUGAGAAAAUAAUAAUAUGUUGAUCUUUAAAAAAUUCUCUUUAUUCUUAGUUGUUAUAUCUUUGGUGGUAGGAGUAUCAAAGUGUCUUCAUAGCUCAGUUCCAGUUGUGCCUGGUUUAUCAUACUCAUAUUAUCAAAAUAGUUGCCCUGAUUUGGAAUACAUUAUUAGGGAUCAUCUUUGGGAGGUUUUUAAUCGUGAUAUAACGCAAGCAGCUGCUUUACUCCGUCCUCAUUUCCAUGAUUGCUUUGUUCAGGUAUUAUUAUGAUAUUAUUAAGAAUUUUAUUUUAAGCGGAUUUAAAAAUAAAACAUUGUUAGGGGUGUCAAUCGGGUUUUCGGUUCAGUUUUGGGUUCGGUUUAUCAAUUUUCGGUUUGUAACAGGUCGGUUUUUAACGGGUUGGAAUUGUUAACGAGUCAGUUCGGGUCGGUUUUAAAUAAUUUCGGUUCGGUUCAGUUUGGUUUAUUUUUGUUACAGUUUCUUUUUGGGUCGGAUUCUAAUCGGGUCGGGUUCUAAUUGGUUCGGGUCAUAAUCAGUUCGGGUUAAAUUUGGUCGGUUUAAAAACGGGGUUUGUCAGUUUAAAGCGGGUUUUGGGUCAACACAUACAUAUCGGGUCCUAAUCGGAUCGGGUUGUAAUCGGUUUGGGUUGUAAUCAGUUCGAGUUGAACUUAUUCGGUUUGACAACUAGUUUUUCCAUUUUUAAAUGGGUUUCGUUAACGUAUAUCGUCUAGUAUAUCCUCAAUAUUCUUUAAUAGUUAUUCAGUAGAUCAUACAGAGUAUUAAUUAGUUGUUUAACUUUAUGUCCCUUUUUGUAUAAUGAUUUUAAGGAUAAAAUAAUAAUAACAAACCUAGAGUUAGGUUUUGAUUUAGAUUUUUAAUUUUUUUUUAUACAAUAUAUAUAGUGUUCAAUAAGCCAUUACUCGUUAGAGGACGAUAAUAUUGUAGCAUAAGAGUUUUAAUGACAUCAAAAUUCCAAACCUUUUCAAUAUGCAUACUUUAUAAUUCAAAUUAAACCCUUUUGUUUUACUAUUGAUAAAAUAUACCCAAAAAAAAAGAAAAAAAAUUAUACGGUCAUAACGGGUUACGGACUUACGGAUUAUAAACGGUUCGGUUAUAACCGAUUAUGGCUUGUAAACGGUUCGAUCAUAACUUAUUACGGGUUAUAAAUGGUUCAAUCCUAACCAGUUACAGGUUGUAAACGAUUUGGGUUUAUCGGGUUGGGUCGGGUUGCUAUCGGGUUCAAAAGUACUCGGUUCGGGUUGUUCUCGAUUUCGGGUUGUAUCAGUUCGGCUUGAUAUUGGGUACAGUUCAUUAACGAUUUUCAAACAUUCGGAUCGAUUCAGUUUCAGGUUUUAAAAAAUCGGGUCAGGUCGGUUUACGGUUUUUAAAUAAAAGGUUCUUAGCGGUUCGGUUCCUUUUUGAAACAAUUCAAAACGGUUCGGAUUCACCAGUUCGGGUCGAUUUUUUGAUAGCUCUAAACACUGUGUAUCAACAUAUAUAUAUAUAUUUGUUGAAACAUCUGAGCAUCAAUAUAUUUAAUUAUGCACCUUUAAAAAUUAUACACUUUUGAUAUUAUAAAGAUACACAUUGAGAUGUAUCUAAAAAUACUGCAUGACUAUGCUAUUUGUAUAUAUUAAUGAGAAUUUUUAAUCAAAGUUUUUUAUAAAUUAAUCAUGUAAAUAAAAAGAAGUAAGAACAGUGAUGUGCUUGUUUUCCAUGGGGGAAUGAAUUAACAAACUAAAAACGCAUUAGACUAUCUGUCAAAAAAAUAAAAAUAAAAAAACAUUAGACUAGAUAAACUCAAGAGUUCUCUACUUCUCUAGGCUAAAGAGGGAAAAAUUUAAGUUCGUUUAUUUUUAGGAAUAAUCUAUAUCUCUAUAUCUAUAUCUAUACUUAGUUGGUAUUUAAAAACACAAACCACAAAUUUUUCAUAUGACACAUGGCAUCACAAUUCACAAGUCACUCAUCACCCAUAUGCCACAUGUCACCCCCCUUAAUAUUUUAUGUUUUAGUCUUUAUGUAUUUUAUAACUUGCAAAUUCAAGUAAGAAAAUGAAGUGUUUCAUUUCCACCAUAAUAAAAUAAUGUUCAAUUAAUUAGUAUACAUUACAUAACAUAUGAAUUAUUAUAAAAAUAUCUUUUCAUCUACUAGACUUUAAAUAUAAUUUAAACUAAUAUGUCAUUUCAUAUACCACAUUCUUCAUGUAUAUACAUCUAACUAAAUUCCUUUAUGUUCUUUCAAAGUUCUACCAUCACUCUUUUUUUUCUUUUAAGUUUUAGAAAUGAAACAAUUACUUUGUAGAAAAGCAUACCUACAUAUGAAUAUAAUUAACCCAAGUAACAACUCGUGCAUUGAACGGGCCAAAAAACUAGUUUUAGUUAAUUAAGGGUGGAUUGUAUUAACAUAAUUUUGUACUUUUAACUAUUGUACUAAUAACAUUGGAUUAAAUCUAAUUAAAUAAAUUGAAUUUCACUUUAUGUUUAAACGUGACUACAAGAAAAGAGCCCAUUAACGACGGAUAUUGUCAUUGUAAACCUGUCAUAAAUAUCAUUUAUGGUAGGAUUAAUUUUUAUCGUGAGCCCGUCCUGAAAGGCGGCCGUCUAGAUUACUUUUUUGUCGCAAAAAUUACGACAAGAAAAAAAUCCGGCUGCAAAAGCCAAUCAUAGGUAGAUUGUUUGUUUGAGAUUCUAGUUGAAUCAUAAUAGAGUUGGGAAGGGUCGUUUGUAUGAAACUAGGUAUGUGUUAUGAUGGGCUAAAAGAUUGUCAUUAAAAGUUUUAUAUUAGGGAUAGGAUUUGUCUCCGCCAUUAAUGGGUUCAGGGCCUCAGCAAUGAUUUUAGGGGCCCUGUUCCAAAUCGAAAAAGGGGGCUUUAAUAAUAUGAAAAUUAUACAAUUUUUUUUAUCUAUAAUUUUGGCAAUGCACAAUUUUCCUAUACAUACAUUGCAAAAUGAAAAUGCUUUCAUAUAACAAUGACACAUUCAAUUACGCAAAAUUAAAUUUGAAUAUUUUAUUCAUGUUGAUAAUAGUAACUAAAUACAACUCAAGGCUCAUAUUAACUUAAGCUAGAUUAACUUCUAUUUGUUUAAAAAGUGAUAUUCUUUUAACGCUCUUUGAGGCAAAAUCAUCAAUCAAGUCUUCAUAUUCCACUUUCUCUAGAAGUUCAUUAUCAAUUGCUAUCAUCGCCAAUACAUUAACAAAGAUAUGACUUCAAUAGCUUUUAACUUGGAAAAACUCCUUUUUACAGUUGCAACUGUCAACUAAAUGCUACAUGCAAUAAUUAGCAUUAGGAAAAUAGCCCACAUCAUUCAAAAACCUCAAAAUAUAGGUCCUUUUAUCUCAUCAUGCAAAAUUUCUUUAAGCAACUUUAACUCCGCAAAUAAUUCAUUCCCAUUAAUAUCUGAUUGUUCAUUAGACAUAAGUGCAUUUUCAAAUUUCAAACAAGAGCAGUUCAAACUUAAUUCAUCCAAUGACUAGAUUUUGAUAGUGUGAUAGGCUAGCUGCAUCAACCUUGGUUAGGCAUGAUUAGCCUUAAAACCUUUUAUUUUAUUUUAUUUAUUUAUUUAUUUUAAUGUGAAGCUAAGUAAAUUUAAUAAUAUUAAAAUGCAUGCUUUAUAUCAUCGUUUUGAUGUAUUAAAUUAUGAUAGAGUAUAUAAUAUAUUUCUGGGCCUCAACCAUUAGCUUAAAUUUUUGGUUGAGUUGGUCCAUGGUAUCGGAGCCAGCGUGACUCAAAGGUCACGGGUUCGAAUCUCAUCCACCCCCACUUUCAAGUGGAAUAUUAAGCGCUGGGUAUGAGGAGGGCCCAUGCUGCAACCACACUUCUAGCCCAAACGGGCUCUCGUGUGAGGGGGAGUUAUAGAGUAUAAAACAUAUUUCUGGGCCACAACCAUCAGUUUAAGCUUUUGGUUGAGUUGGUCCUUUAACAAAUUAUAAUGUUAAACUACCUCCGUUUCAUAUGCAUUUUCUCGUCACAAACCAAUUAAGAAAUUAGAACUCAAAAAUAAAAAACACAUUUUUGGCAUAUAAAAUAAAAAACACACCUCCAAAUUUGACGCUAAGACUUGAGGCAUUUAGACUCAUAAAUGAACUUCGUGCUCAUGUGCAUUACUAUUGUGGACGAGUGGUAUCUUGUGCUGAUAUCCUUACCUUUGCAGCUCGUGAGUCUGUUUAUCAGGUUGCAGUGUUGGAGUGUGCUUCCUCCAUUAUUGCAUCUCCAUGAAGAUGAAGAAAAGCCACGUUUUGGCGUAUUGUUUAUUAUUUUUUUUUAAAAAAAAAAAUUGCAAAAGAUCACGGACACCAGCGAAGGGUCUGGGCCGCACCCGCAAACUAAGAGAGAGAGUCCACUUCACAAGUCCAAGGAGGUUCCAUCCCAAAACCAUAUGGCUAUAGGAGGAGUAGCCCCUUAGCCUUAUAAAGUGUUUAACUCUCUCUUCUUCAACCAAUGUGGGACACUUACAUAUGGUGACACUUGAGAGGUUUAUUCUUCAACACAUUGUCACGAGUUUUGCUACGAACCAAGACUUGUUCUAUGAAAAAUUCAUUGAUGCAAUGGUGAAAAUGGGCCAAAUUAGUGUAUUGACGGGGACAAAAGGCGAAAUUCGUGCAAAUUAUUCUGCGAGGAAUACUCGGAUUAAUAUUGAUCUCGAAUCUAUGGUGAAAGAGGAUGAGGAUCAAGAACAAGAACAAUUGUCACAAUUUUAAGGAUUAUGUACGUAAAACAUCUUCUAAGUCGAGUUAGAUUGUAACAAUAUUUAGUAUGUUUGGACGUUUGGUCAGCUUGUUACGUAAAGUUUAAAGAUCAAUGACAUGUCAUACGUGUUAUGUAAUGGAGUAAAUGGAAUUUUGUCUUAAGGAAUUCGAUACUCUAAAUAAAGGAUUGAAUCAUGUUAUACCAA